rnacentral:lncRNA from 1 species
UCUUAUGGGCUCAUCAGCAGAAGGAGUCAGUGAAAUUGAAGAUAGAUUGGUAGGAAUUACCCAAAUGGAAACACAGGGAAGAAGAAGGGGUGGAAACCAAAGCAGAGCAUCCAAGAACCUUGGUAACGUAAUACCACCACACAUGAUGCCAACUCUCCGGCAGAUCUGUCCCAGGGGGAGGAGCAAAGGGAGUACAAGAAAGAUUUGGUGAGACAACAGCUGAGACCAUCCCCCAAAUAAGGAAAAACAUCACAUCAUACCCCCAAGAAGUUUAGGGAAGCACAGACAGGCCCGAAAAACAGCACAGCAACACCAAACAACCAUACAGACAUUAUCAAAGUCACAUGGCCUAUACCAGAGAAAGAAGUCUGGGGGGGUCCUCCAAACGGGUCAGAGCCGACUUCUUAUCAGAGGCUGGGCAAGCCGGGAGACUUCCUUAAACAGAAUCCUAUACCCAGCAAAAUACCUUCCAAAUAGGAGGUUGAAAUAAAGACUUUUUCAGAAGAAACUGAGUUUAUUGACAGGAAUGUUAAAGAAAACCCAGAACUCGGUCAAAAGAAUGUACCAGAAAGUUUCAGAUUCAUUCAAAGAAGUGAAGGGCUCUGGAAGUGGCAAACAUGGAAGGAUUGUUAUUCUGGGCCACAGAGCAAAUUCAGCUUGGAAUGUUCCUGAAUUCUAUGGUGGGAGUUUCCCAAGCCUCUAGGUCCCAGCGCAAGGCUCCGGAACCAUGGUGCAUGGCUGCGCACUUGUUGACAAGAUGGUACUCACUCACGUCCACAGGUGCGCCACCUGCUCUGGGGAAACCCAAGGCUGCCGCUGUGCCCACAACCCCCCGCUGCCCUCAUACCGGGUGUGUGGGCCUGGGCCCUGCUGCCCACGGCCUAGGUUCAAGUCCCCGCUCCAUCUCUCAUCCUGAGGUACCCGGGGACCCAUCUCACCUGUUCCCACCUGGGUCUGCUUACAUUAAGAGCCAGGCCUGGGACCCACUUCCAGGUGACC